GGACCAUCUGCUUCCCUCGUUAACCACUAUGAGACCGGUGGCGGUGACCCAAAGAUAGAGAUAGGGUACGGUUUUUACCGGAAGUUGAAGAGUUAGAUCGUCUGAAAACGGGGCAUCUUUCCGUUCUUUCCAACGUCGUCGUUUCGUUUUCUCCGCCCGGUGGAAACCCUAGCUAGAAUUUUGCAGCAGGUUUGGCAUGAUUUUGCUGUUUUUGUACUGUUGUUAAAGGGUUACACAGUUACACACAUUACACAAUCACAAC
rnacentral:lncRNA from 1 species